rnacentral:lncRNA from 1 species
AAGAAACACUAUGAGAUCUCCUUGCAGCUUGACCCUGUGGCAGUAGGCACCAAGGAGAAUUACAGUCUCCUGAGAAGAAAGCUAGAACAAAUGCAGAAGAAAGAUGUCUGAUCUGCCCUUCAUGUUGGGAGUUUGAAGGUAUGGACUCCCAUGCUUUUGUGAUGUGUGUAUGUAUUCUCCAACAUGUGUGAUGUUAGUGCGCGGGAUAAUAUUCCGGGGUUGGUAGAUUACCCUGCCAUACUUUAGGCAACCUAACAUCCUGGUCUCUGUUCUGUCCAGUGUUCAGAGGGCUAUCUGUGUGCAGACACUGUGUUUCCAUGUUUUUAGCUGUAAAGUGGGUUUCCAUCUC